UAAUCUUCAUUCUUCAUUUCUCACUUCGGCACUUCGCUAGUUCGCCGCUCCAGUCUUCCUCAGUUCCUCUUCGCACUUCACUUCGCCGCUUCGGUCGUCCUGGUUCCUCUCUCUACAAUUGCCUUGCCUGCGCCAUGCCGCCAUCUCUAUUUCCUUCUCCCCUUAGUCCCUUACUCUAAAUCUCUAAUCCCUUCUCCAAAGUGUGGUGUGGAUCACUUUUGGAGAAACGGCGUAGAUGACCACUGGUUGGCGGUGCUCGUUGUCGACUGUGGGCUGAAGGUGCGGCUGAGCAGGGUGAUUGAGGUGGUGCAGCAGCGGUGCAACUGGUGGUUUCUUGAUUUUGUGGGAGUCUUUGCUUACUUUAGUGGAGCUGGACGUGGGCCCUGUAGCUCUCUCCUCGCAGACGGCCUGCCGUUCUUCUAAUCAUUGACGAGAGUGUUCCAGAAUUUUGGGUGGUUGAAGAAGAACAAGAAGGGGAGCUUGAUUAUGAGGAGUUAGAGGAAGAGCUUGAAGAACUUCCAAUUCAUGGUCAAUGUUCAAAUUCUGAACAACUUGAAGAUAAUGAAGAUGAAGCAGAAGAUGUUGAUUUAGAAACAUUUCAGCGUCGAAACUUUUUUAAUGAUGAAGAUGAUGAUUGGCAUUAAAUGUUCAAAUGUGAUUCAUAUAAUGGUCUUGGAUGAUGAUGAUGACUUGUCAAGAUGGCUUUUUUUGAAGCUUUGUUGUCCCAGAAUUAUGAAGAAGAUUAUAGAAGCUUCAGAAAUUGGACUCGUUUGUACCUUUUGAUUGUUUUCUAGACUUGUAUUGUUUUUUGUUAAUUUUAAUAUUUAGACAAUUGGACAUGUAAGUUUCAUAACUAUGUUAAUUGUGUGUGUUAAUUGUUGGAUAUUGCUCUUAUAUUUAUUGUGGUUCAGCAUUUAUAUCUUAUUCUA